rnacentral:rRNA from 1 species
UAGGGAAUUGUUCGCAAUGGGCGCAAGCCUGACGACGCAACGCCGCGUGGAGGAUGAAGGUCUUCGGAUUGUAAACUCCUGUCGUGUGGGACGAACAUUCUUCGGGCUAAUCACCGAGGGACUGACGGUACCACGAAAGGAAGCCCCGGCUAACUCUGUGCCAGCAGCCGCGGUAAUACAGAGGGGGCGAGCGUUGUUCGGAAUUACUGGGCGUAAAGGGCGCGUAGGCGGCCUGCUAAGUCGGACGUGAAAUCCCUCGGCUCAACCGGGGAACUGCGUCCGAUACUGGUUGGCUUGAAUUCGGGAGAGGGAUGCGGAAUUCCAGGUGUAGCGGUGAAAUGCGUAGAUAUCUGGAGGAACACCGGUGGCGAAGGCGGCAUCCUGGACCGAGAUUGACGCUGAUGCGCGAAAGCCAGGGGAGCAAACG